rnacentral:rRNA from 1 species
GUCUACGACCAUAUCACCCUGAACAUGCCUGAUCUCAUCUGAUCUUGGAAGCUAAGGUGGUAAGCUUCUGGCUUGGAUCAUCUAGACA